UCCCCGAUUGGGUAGAGUGGCACUUGGUGUGGUGGUGCCCAUCUCCUGCCAACGACAGAGCAAUCCCUUGUUUACUGCAGCUUGGCUUUUCUAUCAUACUUAAGCCUGGUUCGUGCCUAAGACAUACGU
rnacentral:snoRNA from 1 species